GGAUUAGAUACCCUGGUAGUCCACGCCGUAAACGAUGUCUACUAGCCGUUGGGAGACUUGAUUUCUUAGUGGCGCAGCUAACGCAAUAAGUAGACCGCCUGGGGAGUACGGCCGCAAGGUUAAAACUCAAAUGAAUUGACGGGGGCCCGCACAAGCGGUGGAGCAUGUGGUUUAAUUCGAUGCAACGCGAAGAACCUUACCAGGUCUUGACAUCCAGAGAACUUUCCAGAGAUGGAUUGGUGCCUUCGGGAGCUCUGAGACAGGUGCUGCAUGGCUGUCGUCAGCUCGUGCC
rnacentral:rRNA from 1 species